GUCCACGCCGUAAACGAUGGAUACUAGCUGUUGGGAGUAAUCUCAGUGGCUAAGCGAAAGUGAUAAGUAUCCCACCUGGGGAGUACGUUCGCAAGAAUGAAACUCAAAGGAAUUGACGGGGGCCCCGCACAAGCGGUGGAGCAUGUGGUUUAAUUCGAUGAUACGCGAGGAACCUUACCAAGGCUUAAAUGUAGAUUGACCGGUUUGGAAACAGACUUUUCGCAAGACAAUUUACAAGGUGCUGCAUGGUUGUCGU
rnacentral:rRNA from 1 species